UGUUAGAAAUGAAGGAGAGUGAUGUUAGAAAUGAAGGAGAAUGAUGUUAGAAAUGAAGGAGAAUGAUGUUAGAAA